GGCCGAAUGGGGAGCUCGCAAGCCGACGCCAGGAGCGCGCAGGUGCCGAGGCACGCCUUGCGGCGCGCGCUGCCAGCCACGAUCGCGACGACGGCAUCUCCACGGGCGUAUCAUCAGCCCGGGCUUGGGCCGCCGUCGCAAUCCGCAUCGGUCCACGCCCCGAGCCGAUCGGCGGACCGGCUCAUCACCGUUCCACAUCCGACCGGGGCGCAUCGCCAGCCCCCAUCCGCUUCCCUCCCGACAAUUUCAAGCACUCUUUGACUCUCUUUUCAAAGUCCUUUUCAUCUUUCCCUCGCGGUACUUGUUUGCUAUCGGUCUCUCGCCCGUAUUUAGCCUUGGACGGAAUUUACCGCCCGAUUUGGGCUGCAUUCCCAAACAACCCGACUCGCAGACAGCGCCUCGUGGUGCGAGAGGGUCCGGGCG
rnacentral:rRNA from 1 species